GUAUUGACUUUUAAAAGUUAUCGUCUGCCAGGCGGUGGUGGCGCAUGCCUUUAAUCCCAGCACUCGGGAGGCAGAGGCAGGCGGAUUUCUGAGUUCAAGACCAGCCUGGUCUACAAAGUGAGUUCCAGGACAGCCAGGGCUAUACAGAGAAACCCUGUCUCGAAAAACCAAAAAAAAAAAAAAAGUUAUCGUCUGAGCUUCUCACACACACACACACACACACACACACACACACACUAAAUAAAAAUCUUAAAAACAGUCUUAAGCAUAAGCAAACUCCCAGCCAAUUCUUUUGUCUCUGGCCCUCAUCUUCUUUUGUCUCUGGCCCUCAUCUUCCACAGCACAGCCGGGCUCACAGACACUGACUUGUUUCUUGGAUUCCAGGAGCUCAGACUGAACUGAGGCUAGCAGGCUCUUUCGGCGAGAUGUCUUCCUACAGAUCUGCAGAUAGAGCUGCUGUCCUGUUCCAGUUCCAGAUGAGGGAACUGAGGCACAGGAAAGAUCCCAGCUAGAUAGUGACAGAUGAGGCCAGGGCCAGCCCUAGGCUACUCCCUACCAGCCUAGCACCUUCCUUCACACCUCAUUAGGCCAGUUACCUUCCCUGUAGUUGCUGAAGUAUUUGAGUCCUUGAUACAUCAGAACCAGGGGAAGCUCCACUCCCUGUGAGCAGUGGUGAGCCUGAGAAUGGAUUCCUAGCAAGUGCCUAGGUGAUGCUGAGAUGCUAGUCUGUUUCUCAGUGAACCUUCAUGAGCAUUCUAAGGUCCAGAAUCUAGAAUGCCACUGGGCUUCAGGAAACAGCUUGAGAAACACCUUGCCUGGUGUAAUAGGGUAACUAUGGCAACGACUAACUCAACACCACAUUGAAUGUGAAGUGAAUAAGCUGAGGAGAUAGCUCAGCUGGCAUCACCCAAGUUCAGUGCCCAGAAGCCAUGUAAAAGGUCGAGUAUGGUGGCAUGCCCUUUAACGCCAGCGCUGGGAAGGCAGGCACAGGAGGAUCUCUGGGGCUUCCUGGCCAGCCAGUCUCACCCAAGGUAUUUCCAGACCAAAGAGAAACCCUGUCACAAAAAUAAGGCAAGUAUCAUUCCUGAGGAACACCACCUUCACAUCCAUGUGCACACACAUGGAUGCUCUCAUGUACGUGCAUAUAUACU
rnacentral:lncRNA from 1 species